UAAUACGGAGGUGGCAAGCGUUGUUCGGAAUUACUGGGUGUAGAGAGCGUGUAGGCGUUCUGACAAGUCAAUGGUGAAAUCCCCCGGCUUAACCGAGGAACUGCCUUUGAAACUGUUAGAAUUGAGUUUGGGAAGGGAGAGCGGAAUUUCCGGUGUAAGGGUGAAAUCUGUAGAUAUCGGGAAGAACACCUGUGGCGAAGGCGGCUCUCUGGUCCAAAACUGACGCUGAGACGCGAAAGCUAGGGGAGCGAACAGGAUUAGAUACCCUGGUAGUCUUAGCCGUAAACGAUGGGCACUAGGUGUCGGUUGGUAAACAGUCGGUGCUUCAGUUAACACAUUAAGUGCCCCACCUGGGGAGUACGUCGGCAACGAUG
rnacentral:rRNA from 1 species